UUAGAAGAGAUCUUAAAUAAUUAUUACUAAUUUAUUUAUUUUUGGUUAGAAGUUCAUAUAAUUUAAUAUUAUUAACUAAUCAAAAUCAAUAAAUUCGAAGAGUGAUUUUGUGAUAGUUAUGAUGUUAAAUAUUUUUGAUAGGUAACGAAGAGAGUGAACACGCCUACGGGUCAUUGGAAAGGAUGGAACUGGAGAACCGAAGGAGAUUUGCUUCAGAACGGAGCUUACUUCACUGCUUCGGGAGUCGCUGCAUCUGGUAGCUACGCACGUGCCUCUAGCCUCGCCGCUAAAUCUUCUUCAUUGGUCGAUACAAUUACUUCUGACGCUGGAGCUCUACCAUGUCGCCGAGGACGUCAAUGUACCUCAUAGUUGUUUUUAACCUCCUACCGACACCAUAACCACCAAAAUUCAUAACCAUUUUCUAUUAUAUUUAGACAAAAGUGUACAUUCUCACACAUUUGUCAAUUAAAAGCCUAUUGUCUCUUCUUUUUUUCGUCUGUGUUUGUGUCAAUUUUUCAACCUCGGGUUUUCUUGCUUCAACCGCAAGUUAACACAAGAAAAGGAAAUAAAAAAACUUUUCAUGUAAAAGAGAAACUCCCGAAGUGUUGUUGGUUCUGUCUGAUCAACUCGUAUACCCAGAAAAAAACAAGAAUGUUAAUGUCUUGUUUUUUCUUUUGUGUGUUCUUCUGGUUUAUAAUUAAAUAUAAUGUCUAAUGAUUUGUGAAUCUUUCUACUUGUCUUUGUAAUAGAGUGUCUAAUAAAGUGUAAUAUAGUGUCUAAUAAAAGUUUAUAGCUUUGAUAGCUUUAUUUUCUUUUAAGUGGUUGUAACUUGUCAUGAUUAUACUUUUUAACUAAGCAAGCAACCAAUAUAGUAAUUGGCAGUUUAUAAAAAACUUUGUAUUAGUAUUGUUAUCUAAUUUAACAUUAGAAAAAGUUUGUUUGCGACAUAUUCGAAUAUUUAUCACCCGCUAGUGUUUCUCUAUUUAGAUUUCCUACCACGUAAACUUUAGAAAAAAUAUUAUCAAGUUUCUAAUGCAACUAGACAUCAUAAAAACAAAUUAGCAAAAAACAGUAAAUAUCUAUUAUGUGUAAAUAUUACCUUUAAAAUGCCAAUUUUUUUAUUAAUAAUCGACAAAGUGGCUAAGUUUAUUAAUAAGUGACAAAGUGAUCAAGUGGUAAAGGGAAAUGUUAAUGUCUUGUUUUUUCUUAUGUGUGUUCUUCUGGUUUAUAAUUAAACAUAGUGUCUAAUGAUUUGUGAAUCUUUCUACUUGUCUUUGUAAUAGCUUUGAUAGAUUUAUAUGGCUGGAUUUGAUAGCUUUAUUUUCCUAAGUGGUUUUAACUUGUCAUGAUUAUACUUUUUAGCUAAACAAGCAACCAAUAGUGUUAUCUGAUUUUUAACUUUGCAUUAGUGUUAUCUGAUUUUUAACAUUAGAAAAAGUUUGUUUGCGACACAUUCGAAUAUUUAUCACCCGCUAGUGUUUCUCUAUUUUGAUUUCCUACCACCUAAACUUUAGAAAGAAAUAUUAUGAAGUUUCUAGUGCAAGACAUCAUAAAAACAAAUUAGCAAAAAAACAGUAAAUAUCUAUUAUGUGUAGAUAUUACCUUCAGAGUGUCAAUUUUUUUUAUUAAUAAUCGACAGUAACAAAGUGUGAUAGAAAGUCCUGAAAGAACGAUUGUUCUAUAUACUAAGACCAUGUUUUAUUUACAUUAGAUAGUAUUUUUGUUAUAAAAUUUUAUAGUCCUUGAUGACGGAUUAGCAUCUCAAACUCAAUUUCAUAUUUCAUUGAUUUUGACUAAAAAUGCUCCAAUUACGUUCUAUUUUCCACUCUAUAGUGAAGUAACCAAUGAAAUCACUUCAUCAAUAUAGAGUAUUGUUUUUAUUUUUCAGAAUCAGAGUAAAAUUCAAUUCCAUUAUUAUGGAUUUACGACGUUUUAAAGUAAAAAUAAAGUUUACUAGAGAUAUUUUUAGUGAAUAUAUAUAAAUCUUAAAUUCAAUCUGAUUUUUUGUGUUAAAACCCCCAAUAUUAUAAUGAAUAUAAUUAAUUGAUGUUUUAUUUGGCUUUUUUGCAUUGGGAAGUUGAUCGUUAACAUGAAAAACAAGAAAAGCCUAAAACACGCUAAAUCGGAUCCAUGUGCACCCACGUGACAAAAAAAUCAAAAAUCACAAGCAAAAUGUUCCAACAGAUAAUGAUAACCUUUUAUUUUCACCAUCAUUAAGAUUAUCUACACAUCUCCCUAUCAGAAAAUUUAUAGAACAUAAUUUAUCUAAAGCUAAAGUGAUAUAAACGGCAUCUCCAAUGGUACUCUAUAAUCUUCUUUAUAAUUUCCACUAAAAUAGAGUAAUUCUAUAAUAGAAUUAUUCUAUUUUAAUGAAAAUUAUAAAAUAGAUUAUAAUAGAGUUAUUCUAUUUUAUUGAAUUUUUUUUUUGUUGGAACAUUUUAUUGAAAAUUAUAAAGGAGAUUAUAGAGCAUCAUUGGAGAUGGUAUAAGAAUGUUAUAUUUUGGAUAAAAUGAUCCAUAUAUAAAAGACAUUUACGUCUACAGUAACUCUUUAAAAGAACAUUGAUCUCGUAUAGCCUAACUUAAUAUGGUUGUACAACGGUGGAUAACAUAUUUAUCAUUUUGAGAAAACAUUUCAGUUUUUUCACCCAUAUUUUUUUUUUUUUUUUUUUUUUUUUGUAACUGCAUUCAUAAAUCAUCCAUGUUAUACAGUCUCAAACCGUAUCAACAAUGUCAAAUCUCGAUAACGAGUCAAUUUUCAUUGCGUCUACGAUGGUCACAUUCACCUAUGAUGAUCAUAUUCAUCUACGAUGUCCGGUUCAACAAAUGUGGUUUUUUUACUAGUACAAUUAAAUUUCAGUAAUUUCUAGAAUUAACACAAAGAUAAAGAUACAAAAAUGCUAAUUUCAAAGUGGAUGCGUAACUGAAUUUUUUUUUUUGAUAAAAAAAGGUUAAAUCCAGAUCUAUAAAAAUACAGAAUUAAUCCUUGGGUGAAAGGUGCAACUUACGGAUGUAUCUUCUCUCGGGUAUUCAAAUGGACAGUAAACAUGGACUUAUAUCCGUGUGGCCACAUGUAGAACUAAUAAUUUCGCACUGGAGAAGAAUCGAUUUCUAACUUGGAUCAACAGGACAACUCCUCCUCUAGUGGAAACCAGUAGACCACCACGAUGUGGUUUGAAGUUGUUUAGUUUAUUUAGCUUUGAACGGAUUAAAAAUCUUUUUAGUGAUACUACCGAUAAUAUGUGUGGGAAUAUGAUAAACUCAACAUUUUGACUGUUGAUUAGUUCCACGAAAAUGUUGAUCUUAGUUAGUGAUACAAUCGGUAUGCGAGUAAAACUGUGGUCCACAUUGGUAUAUUUUGAUGCUCGGAUCUUGAUGUGAGAAUUCACACACGUUCUUUCUCAUAAAAAUUUGAAAUAUACGUUUAAAGAGUUCAGAACUUUUAGAUAAAGAAAGAUAUCGAUCGAGGUAUGUGACGUAAACGAGAAAAAUAAAAAGCUUUAAUUGCAAAAAGGCUUCAUAUUAAUAAAUUAUUUUAACAUUUCCAAAAAGGUUUAGUCGCAAGAAAUAAAAAGGGAUAUUUUUGUCGUUAAGUGAAUUGCUUCGUCGCUUUCGGAAGAAGAAUGCAUGUUGGUCGAUCUUAGAUAUGCAUUCAUUGAAUUUCCUUCAUAUCCACUCUCCAUUAUUCAGUUUUGAUUUAGUUUUGGAAUAUUUGCUUCCUUUUCCAAAUAAUAUUCUGAUGCCUAGUUAUUUGAACAAUAUUGUGCAAAUAUAUUAACGUUACUAGUGAUCAAUCACAUACGAAAAUCAGAAAUACUGAGAUUUACACUACCUUGAUUGUUUCACAUAACAUUACACUUGGUAUUUUCCAAAAACAUGUUCUGCAUUAUAUUUGGGAGAAAGCAAAGAAAUAGAGUUGUUUUAUGUUUUCUUUUUAAAAAAAAAAAAAAUAUAUAUAUUAGAAAUCAACCCGAGAACCGGAAAUUCAAGUUUCGGUUACAAGCUCGAAUUGAAAAAAAACUCCCAAGUUAAUCUAUUACAUUCUAAUUUCAUCCACCCACUAAAUCCAGCACGUUUCACUAGUCCGAUUUUUGAAAUCCUUAAGCUUCCAAGUUUUGUUUAAUGCGUAUUUGUAUGCUCUGAUGAGUAUAAACUUAAGAGUACUACGCCAACUUUUAAAAGUUUAGAUGUUCUUUUUUUUUGUCUCUAUCUGUAUAUAUAGUUUAGAGUCAUGAUAUUACUUUUGGGUUCGGAUAUUUGAUCUUUGGAUUAUAAGGCCGUUAGAUAUGUGGAGUAUUGUCACAUUAGGCGUUGGGCCGCUAACGGGCCUAGAAUAAAAACGCAAUGAGACCGCACGGCCCAAGUUUAUAGAUAACGGGAGAAGGUAAGGUUGUUACGCCUAACGGCCAUAACAACUUGUUCAUCGUCUAUCUCGAAACAGAGGAGAGAAGGGAGAGAGAACAGAGAGCAGAGUUACAUAGAUCGAGAGAAGAGAGAUAAGGGAGAGAGUACGAGAGCGGAAGGAGAAACUGAUUAAGAACAGAGAGAUCCAGUAGUGAUCACAGCUCUUGCGAUCGAGGCGUGUAGUCACUCUCGUAAUCUUCUCCGAAGAGUUCUCGGUACAUUCUUUUGUAGUACCUGCACAUAAACAAGAUCAGGUGAGAUCUUGAGCUGUUGUAUCACCAUUGAUCAAUAGUGAAGUGCAUGAGAGUUUUGUUCUCUCCCCAGUCAGUAGGAAACGAAGACUGGGUAAACAAUUGCUUGUGUUGUUUGCGUUGAUUCGAUUAACAGGUUCAUCACAAGUUAAGGUCAAGAUUGAAUUGAUAAUCAACUAGGUGAACUGGAUCAAGAUCGGAAUCGAACCUAGUCUGAUACCUUAACAGUUAUGAUGUUAAAUAUUUUUGAUAGGUAACGAAGAGAGUGAACACACCUACGGGUCAUUGGAAAGGAUGGAACUGGAGAACCGAAGGAGAUUUGCUUCAGAACGGAGCUUACUUCACUGCUUCGGGAGUCGCUGCAUCUGGUAGCUACGCACGUGCCUCUAGCCUCGCCGCUAAAUCUUCUUCAUUGGUCGAUAC
rnacentral:lncRNA from 1 species